CAGGACCCGGCAGAUGUUCAGGGGGCAGGAGGAGGGAGGGCUGAUGAGAAAGAUCCUGUGAGAGGAAGCUGCCGUGAUUCAGAGAAGAGACUGAGCUGUUAGCAGCCCAAGCGUCCGGUUCCUCUCACAGGCCAGAGACUUCGGAAGUAGCAUGCAAAGAGCUCAAGUUCGAAGUGGCGGGGGUGGAGUUGGGGUUAGGAUCUUUAAGCUGGGGCUUGAGAAGUGAGCAACAGAAAACUCUGGUGUCCAGAUUUGUUCCUUCACCCAGGAGACAGUCUGGUUUUUAAGCACAUCAUUGGCCCCUCUGUGCGAGUCACAUAAAACCCAAGCAAAGUAAGUCCCACUCUCUGGCCCCCCGACCUCCCUCUUUUCAACGUCUCUCCCGGGUGUCUGGCCCCCAGCCCGGUUGGGGGUUCCCCUGAGAUGAGGGCUGUUCACUUUCUCUGACCACACGGUUUCCGCUUCUGUGUCUCUUAUUUCCUAAGCUGAUAAAAAUACUGAGCCCUAGAGGCCCUGGCUUCCUCUGACCCCCUGGCGCCAGGAGGCAGGCAUCCUGUCCUCCACAGUUGGGGUGGGGAGGGGAAGCAGGGAUCCCCAAGGGGUGACUCAGAGCCUUCCGUGCAACCCUGGGGACAUGGACGUGUGCAGCCUUGCUCUAGAGCUGGAACGAGAAAUUGCUUCUCAGUGGAGUGUGCAUUGGGGCUCAGUUAGAGACAUGGGGUUGGGAAUGAGACUGGUGAGAUUGAAGAGGGUCCCUUGGGAGAUUGGGGUUGGGGCAGAUCUGGUUAAAUCAGGAAAAGGGUGUGGGAGGGACUGUCUUCAGUGCAGUUCAGCUGAGCAUCAAGUAGCCCAAAGAUGCAAACUGCUUCAAAUUUGCUGUCCGGUAGGGGAUGCAGACCUAAUCAACUGAUCAAGGCAUGCUGAGUGAACCAGAUAGAGUAAGAUACAGUGGCUGUAGAAGAAUCCUGCCGGCAGCUGUCCAGAAGGAUCUCCGUUAUACAGAUGAGACUGAGGCUCAUAAAUGUACUGUACCUUACAGUCAGACAGCUACAAAGUAAUGGAAUUAGCGUUAAACUCAUUUUACCCCAAAGCCUGUGUACUCUCUACUUAAGUCCCAAUAACUCCAAGUGGCAUUAAAGGAAGGGACAAAUCUUACAACUUUGAGAGGGGUAAGUCAUCAGGGUGUGCCAGCUGAUUGGAUGGUGGGAGUGAGGGAAGACGAGUCCUAGAUGGCUCCAAGGUUCGAGCCAAGGGGAUAAGAAAGCCCAGAGUACCCUAAACCAAGGAGGUAUGUGGCUGAGGGGAAAAUGAGUUGGUUUCAGACAACCAAAUUUUUAUCAAGUACCUGAUGGGAGCAGAGUGCUCUGCUAGACAAUGGAUAUAAAUGAAAUAAAGUCACUGCCCUCAAAGGGCUUGCAGUCUAUUGAAAUAUACAAACAAGUGGGCUUCCCAGGUGUGCUGGGUGGUAAAGAAUCCACCUGCCAGUGCAGGAGAUGAAAGAGACUCAGAUUUGAUCCCUGGGUCGAGAAGAUUCCCCUCAAGCAGGAGAUGGUAACCCGCUUCAAGAUUCUUGUGGAGAAAAUUCCAUGGAAGAUGAUCCUGGCAAGCUACAGUCCAUGAGGUGGCAGAGUCAGACACGGCUGAGCACACGUUUCACGUUUAGGCUACAGUGAACCAAAUGAUCUAAUGUGGGUGGAACAAACAG
ensembl:lncRNA